UUCCGGUUGAUCCUGCCGGACCUGACUGCUAUCGGAUUGAUACUAAGCCAUGCGAGUCUUUGCAGUAAUGCAAGGCAUACGGCUCAGUAACACGUAGUCAACUUACCCUAUGGACGAGGAUAAUCUCGGGAAACUGAGCAUAAUACUCGAUAGAUCAUAAUGCCUGGAAUGGUUUAUGGUUGAAACGAUUCGUCGCCAUAGGAUGGGACUGCGGCCUAUCAGCUUGUUGGUGAGGUAAUGGCCCACCAAGGCGAUUACAGGUACGGGCUCUGAGAGGAGAAGCCCGGAGAUGGGUACUGAGACAAGGACCCAGGCCCUAUGGGGCGCAGCAGGCGAGAAAACUUUGCAAUGUGCGAAAGCACGACAAGGUUAAUCCGAGUGAUUUCUGCUAAAGAAAUCUUUUGCAAGUCAUAAAACCACUAGUGAAUAAGGGGUGGGCAAGUUCUGGUGUCAGCCGCCGCGGUAAAACCAGCACCUCAAGUGGUCAGGAGGAUUAUUGGGCCUAAAGCAUCCGUAGCCGGCUCUGUAAGUUUUCGGUUAAAUCCAUGUGCUCAACGCAUGGGCUGCCGAAAAUACUGCAUAGCUAGGGAGUGGGAGAGGUAGACGGUACUCGGUAGGAAGGGGUAAAAUCCUUUGAUCUAUCGAUGACCACCUGUGGCGAAGGCGGUCUACCAGAACACGUUCGACGGUGAGGGAUGAAAGCUGGGGGAGCAAACCGGAUUAGAUACCCGGGUAGUCCCAGCUGUAAACGAUGCAGACUCGAUGAUGCAUUGGCAUAUAGCCAGUGCAGUGUCGCAGGGAAGCCGUUAAGUCUGCCGCCUGGGAAGUACGUACGCAAGUAUGAAACUUAAAGGAAUUGGCGGGGGAGCACCACAAGGGGUGAAGCCUGCGGUUCAAUUGGAUUCAACGCCGGG
rnacentral:rRNA from 1 species